UGCAGUCGAGCGGACUUUGGGAGCUUGCUCCCGAAGUUUAGCGGCGGACGGGUGAGUAACACGUGGGCAACCUGCCCUGCAGAUCGGGAUAACUCCGGGAAACCGGUGCUAAUACCGAAUAGUUUUUUGUCCCUCCUGGGACGGAACGGAAAGACGGUUUCGGCUGUCACUGCAGGAUGGGCCCGCGGCGCAUUAGCUAGUUGGUGGGGUAACGGCCCACCAAGGCGACGAUGCGUAGCCGACCUGAGAGGGUGAUCGGCCACACUGGGACUGAGACACGGCCCAGACUCCUACGGGAGGCAGCAGUAGGGAAUCUUCCGCAAUGGACGAAAGUCUGACGGAGCAAUGCCGCGUGAGUGACGAAGGUUUUCGGAUCGUAAAACUCUGUUGUAAGGGAAGAACAAGUACCAAGUAACUACUGGUACCUUGACGGUACCUUACCAGAAAGCCACGGCUAACUACGUGCCAGCAGCCGCGGUAAUACGUAGGUGGCAAGCGUUGUCC
rnacentral:rRNA from 1 species